rnacentral:rRNA from 1 species
UCGAACGGCAGCACGGGGGCAACCCUGGUGGCGAGUGGCGAACGGGUGAGUAAAGCAUCGGAACGUGCCCAGUAGUGGGGGAUAACCAGUCGAAAGAUUGGCUAAUACCGCAUACGACCUACGGGUGAAAGCGGGGGACCGUAAGGCCUCGCGCUAUUGGAGCGGCCGAUGUCCGAUUAGCUAGUUGGUGGGGUAAAGGCCCACCAAGGCGACGAUCGGUAGCUGGUCUGAGAGGACGACCAGCCACACUGGGACUGAGACACGGCCCAGACUCCUACGGGAGGCAGCAGUGGGGAAUUUUGGACAAUGGGCGCAAGCCUGAUCCAGCCAUGCCGCGUGCGGGAAGAAGGCCUUCGGGUUGUAAACCGCUUUUGGCAGGAACGAAACGGCGCGAGCGAAUACCUCGCGCUAAUGACGGUACCUGCAGAAUAAGCACCGGCUAACUACGUGCCAGCAGCCGCGGUAAUACGUAGGGUGCGAGCGUUA